UCCUCCUUGUCGUUCCCCUUUUCGAUCCUUUUGCUGCAAAGGUUUUAGUGGUUGUGGUUUGCUUUUUCGUCUAAAAGCUAAAAAUUUCGUUGGUAAUUGGGGAUUCCAUGAGUUACUUUUUGGUACUUUACUGGUAACUUGCAUGCGUACAAGAUCAGAUAUUUUGUUAGAUGAGAUAAGAGUAUAUAAAUGAUUAAUUUGAGGUAAAUGGACAUGUCAUAUAGAAAAUGAUACAAAUCGUUGAAUCCUUGAAUCCGUGCUAAUCUAGUGGUGUUUGUUUGCUUGGUCUUCACUGUCACUUGACCGAUCUAUCCGCUCUAGUGGAUGCGGUUACCACCCUGACCCUGUAUUUCAAUGGAUUGCCAUGGUGCUGACGGGCGCGUCACCAACUUCCAUUGCUUAUUGCUUAAUUGCUUAUCAUAGUGUGUCCAUUCAAAUUCUUAGUUUUUCAUCAUAGGCUCAAACAUCUUAAGAUGUUCUUAGCACCUGAUGUUUCUGUCCAUUCCUACCUUGGUAUGCCAAAAUAAGCAAGGAAGGUCUUGCAACUACGACAUUAGACAUCCAUUUGAUGGCUUCAUAGAGAUUAUGAUUGGUCAACCAAGCUUCUCGAACUUCAAAAUGUGAUAUAAGUGCCAGUGAAUAAACUGAUUUACAAAGUACAAGCAAGGAAUAUUGAAAUAUCGUUGCCUUUCAGUUGUCAUUUAUUUGGACUGUUAGUUUCUUGCACUCUAGCCCGUACUUGAAGCAGGUUGGGUGUAGGUAUGGGGAAGCAGGUUUCUUUAAAAAAUUUAGUAAGAAAACACUUCGUAAGCAGGUGAGGGGACAAGUUUUCGAGGAGAUAUCGAUAUAGGUUCACCACACUAAAUGGAAGAUUCCUCCUACUAAGCUCUACCACCAUUUAAUCGAAUUCAUCAGUCUUCCACCCAACUUGAACUGCAAAGACAAUUCUACCCUGUAAUGCACUUUUCGAUUACAUCACAUUAAAAGAUCUUCAAUCACCAAAAUCUCAAUUGGUUCGUGUCUUAGUUCCCUCUUAUGUACUUAUGCAUAGAGCCAUUUUUUCUACCUUUAGAACAUUUACUUUUGUGCUCUAGAAUCAUAGAACUCCUAGAAUCAUGGUGCUUAGCCCGGCAAGCCCAUGAAGGAAAUUGGUAGCUUGGUGGCAUUAUUUAUUCUGGGAUAUUUUGUUAUUCGGUAUACAAAUUUUAACAUAAUUUUGGAGGAAUUGCACAAGACUUUAUGUUAACUUUUAUUUUCACGUUGCUAUGGCUUAUGAUGAAGAAAGCUUGUCGGGCUUGACAUGGUUGAUGCCAGUUCUUCAAGAGGUUUCCAUGUUUCCUUGUUUGGGAAUUUAACAACAAUUGCUCAAAUUCUCUUUUCAUAUUGAGACACCAUCUUAAGUUAUUCUUAGAUUUCAUGGAUUAUUAAAGAGUGAACCCAUUUUGAUGGGGUAAGUCUUGUUUGUUAUGCAUAAGAUUAUCCGUUUUGGUGAUUGCUCAGAGUCUUAUGUAUUCAGUUGUGUGAUGUUAAUUAUUCUGCAUGAAAUCCAUUUCAAACUCUCUUUAAAAUUCUCAAUAGGACAUAGAAUCAGAAAAAUCUAGUACGAGUGAGCACAAUAUUAUCAUUUGACAAUGUAACAAUGUAUACUAAGUUAGUAUUUAAAGCAGGUUCAUGCAGUACAACUUAUAGCGUAAAGGAAACAAAUUAUUGAUAUGUAUAGAGGGUACUGGUUUGAGAUUGAAUGUAUGCUAAUCUGAUGGUUGGUCCAUACUUGAUAUAAGGAAAAUCAUAAACUUCUUGGUUGCUGUCCUAUGGGCAUAACUUUUGAAGUUGAUAGAUGGUUCUUUGUAGUUCGAGUGUGGUGAAUACAUCUUCUACAUGAUGGAUUUCAUGGUAGAGAUCUGUACUUCGUAGGCCCCAUAAAUGAAAAUGGAGCCAGUUUCAACUUCCCUAAACAGCUAAUGUUGGAGUAGACUUCUAAACUGUGUAUGGCAAAUUGUAAUGGUUUGAUUCUCAGUUGCUAGAAUUGGGAGCAGGUACAGAUGCAGGAACGGGAUAGGGGGUAUUUUUGAAAUACUUGAAGCAAUGAAAUGCUCAAGAAGAAGGUGCAGAUUCGAGUUUUACUCGAGUUUCUGAAGCAGAUACAUUAACUGCAGUAGAAGUUCCAUUCUAUUAAGAUUGGAUGCUGAAGGUCAUUGGAGAUAAACCUCAGAUGAAAGAGGUGAUUUCCAGGGAUAGUUGCUGAUGAGGUCUAAUACAAACAUGGUUGAUGAAGAGGGUGAUAGGGAAUGGAGAACUAUAUAGCCUGUUAUCUUAUGACUCGUCAUUCAUUUUGUAUCCCUGCAAUCAAUAAACAAGCAUCAUAAUGAUUUAAAGAGCAUCUUCAGCAUGUAGGAUUAGACUACCAAAUGCUGUAUGCUUAGGUUUAAGGAUAGAAGGAUCAAGGAUGAGAUAUAUGUGAUGUCCUAUUGAUAGCUUAUGGAUGGGGAUCAGGAUUACACUACUUGAAACUUUUGUAAAGAUUUUAAGGAUAGUAAGCAGCACUAAUCGAGAUAAGAUGAUCUUUUGAUGAAGGCAUUGAUGGGGCCAAAGGGCCAUGACAAAAAAAUUCUUGAGAACAGUGGAAUAUCACCAAUAGCCAAUGGGACAAGCAAUUCUACUCUGAGAUACAUGGAGCUGAUACGUAAAUGUAUCUAUUAUAGAUAUAACACUAUUUGUUUUGCUAUCUUGGA